GUGGGUUUUGUUGAUUUACUUAACAGGAAACGAAAAUGUUUUGGAAAGUGCAUUGGUCAAUACAAAAAAUUACAUAUUUAUCUUAAACAACAGUCUUGCGCAAAUGUGUUCACAAUGGCAGUCAAACAAAUGUAUCGCAAUAGAGCGUGGAGCACAUGCACGUCAACAGCUUAUGUAUUUGAGCUACUUUGGAAUUUUAAUAGAAGUGUUUCUUUAAAAAUGGGAAAAUAGUUUAAGCUGUUUUCGUAUAAUCUAAAUCCAUGGCUUCAUGAAGACAUGAGGCAAAUCUUCUGUUUGUUAAGCUGUGGAUUUCUUGGUAAAUAUUUUUCUAGUUAGAUGUUAUAAAUAAAGGUAAAAAGUCUAGGGUAUUUGUUACUAAGAAUUCAUGUAUACAUUCAUGGUCUCUGUGGAUAUUUUUGAGGUGGACUGAUUCGAGCAGGAGAUGAGGAAAAGAAAAUAGAUGGUUACAUUCCAUAGCAGAUACACCCACAGAAGCCCAGCAGUGAUUCUCCUCAUGUGUUGGAAUACAGGCUGUGCUCUAGUGAUGGGCAGAUCGAUUCUUAAAGGCACAAUAUUUUGGGAAGGAGCCACUUUCUAUUCCAGCAUGAAAAUGCCCCUGUGCACAGAGAGGUCCAUGGUGUACUCAGUCUGGAGUAGAACCUUGACUAGUCCACACAAAGCCCAGAGCUGGACCUCACUGAACACCUUUGGGAUGAUUUGGAAUGCAGACUUCAAGCCAAGACACAUCAGCCAACAACAGUGCUUGUCUUUACUGUGUGUGAAUUGGAACAAAUCCCCGCUGCCAUAUUUCAACAUAAUGGCAAAGCCUUUAAAGAUAAGUGGAAGCUCUAGCAGUUAAGGAAAGAAGAACUUCUUAUUAAUCCCAUUGGUUUUGAAAUUAAAUGUCAAUCAUAUGGGCACAGUGUCCAUGUACUUAUAACCGUAUGUUAAUAGUAAUCUAAUCUUUCCGACUGUUCUCCUAUCAUACUCUGAGCUCCACAGGAUUUGUUGAUUUCUCACUGUGUCUGUCUGUGAAAAGAGACAUUAAUAAGUCAUAGCAGAUGAAUUAUGGAUUGAAGUGAAUUCUGCCUUAGAAGUUCUAUAUAAAGGAUGGACUGCUGGAUUAUUACAUCAUUGCGAAAUGUGUUUGUGGAACAUGUGCAUUGAAAACAUGUGC
ensembl:lncRNA